rnacentral:rRNA from 1 species
GCUUACGACCAUAUCACGUUGAGAACACCGGUUCUCGUCCGAUCACCGAAGUUAAGCAACGUCGAGCCNNNCAACGUCGAGCCGAGUCAGUACUUGGGAGGGAGACCACUUGGGAACACUCGGUGUCGUAGGCU